rnacentral:rRNA from 1 species
AUGAACGCUGGCGGCGUGCCUAACACAUGCAAGUCGAGCGGCAGCGAGGGGUGCUUGCACCCUGUCGGCGAGCGGCGGACGGCUGAGUAACGCGUGGGAACGUGCCCCAAAGUGAGGAAUAACUGCCCGAAAGGGUAGCUAAUACCGCAUAUUAUCUUCGGAUCAAAGGAUUUAUCCGCUUUGGGAGCGGCUCGCGUCGGAUUAGGUAGUUGGUGAGGUAAUGGCUCACCAAGCCGACGAUCCGUAGCUGGUCUGAGAGGAUGACCAGCCAGACUGGAACUGAGACACGGUCCAGACUCCUACGGGAGGCAGCAGUGAGGAAUCUUCCACAAUGGGCGAAAGCCUGAUGGAGCAACGCCGCGUGCAGGACGAAGGCCUUCGGGUUGUAAACUGCUUUUAUAAGUGAGGAAUAUGACGGUAACUGAUGAAUAAGGAUCGGCUAACUACGUG